GGCACCUCAAUGUGUAGCUCAGUGGUAGAGCGUUCGCUUUGCAUGUGAAAGGCCCUGGGUUCGAUCCCCAGCACCUCCA
rnacentral:tRNA from 1 species